rnacentral:rRNA from 1 species
GGACGAACGCUGGCGGCGUGCUUAACACAUGCAAGUCGAGCGGUAAGGCCCUUUCGGGGGUACACGAGCGGCGAACGGUGAGUAACACGUGGGUGACCUGCCCUCAGCUCUGGGAUAAAGCCCUGGGAAACCGGGUCGUAAUACCGGAUAUGACUCCAUGACGCAUGUUGUGGGGUGGAAAGCCUUGUGCGGCUGAGGAUGGGCCCGCGGCCUAUCAGCUUGUUGGUGGGGUGAUGGCCUACCAAGGCGACGACGGGUAGCCGGCCUGAGAGGGCGACCGGCCACACUGGGACUGAGACACGGCCCAGACUCCUACGGGAGGCAGCAGUGGGGAAUCUUGCGC